AUUGAAACACCAGUUUCCAUACAAUCAUCAAAGUUAAGCAAUAUUGGGCCUGGUCAGUACCUAGAUAGAUGACCACUGUGGAAUACCAGGUGCCGUAAG